rnacentral:lncRNA from 1 species
AUAAUUACACCAGAUUACAUCAACAAAUAUACAAGAUUGUACAGACCCUCUUAAUCAUCAAGUUCAUGCCUACACCUCCAACUUCCUUUUUGGCUCUGACCACCAAGUAAACCUGUAACAAACAAUAUGCUUCUGUUACCAAAUGGCAAGCUGAUUACAACAACAUAAAUAGUAGUUAUUAUCAUCUAAGCCAUCAUUUUUAUUUCACGUGGUUUGAACCUCAACCUCACUCGUGAGGCCUAUAUACUUAAAGAGUUAUGCCAGGAUUCCUUGUCUUUCAUUAAUCAACAAUAUUGUUUCAUUGCAGCAACACAACAUCGAUGACUAAUCACGAGUACCCUAGUGUCAAAUAGUUCAAAUCAUCCUGAAGGGCAUAGGAGCUUACCCAUGCCAAAGUGCUGAGGAGCUCCACCUUGUUGUGCAACUAUAGGUACCUUUGAAAAAUUAUAAUCUCAAAGUUCAGAGGGGUGUUGACAAAUAAUAAAGGGAUAGGGGAACAAGAUAAGUUAUUG